UACGUAGGGUGCGAGCGUUAAUCGGAAUUACUGGGCGUAAAGCGUGCGCAGGCGGUUUUGUAAGCCAGGUGUGAAAUCCCCGGGCUUAACCUGGGAAUGGCAUUUGGGACUGCAAGGCUUGAGUGCGGCAGAGGAGACUGGAAUUCCUGGUGUAGCAGUGAAAUGCGUAGAUAUCAGGAGGAAUACCGAUGGCGAAGGCAGGUCUCUGGGCUGACACUGACGCUCAUGCACGAAAGCGUGGGGAGCAAACAGG
rnacentral:rRNA from 1 species